rnacentral:rRNA from 1 species
CAGCAGCCACGGUAAUACAGAGGGUGCGAGCGUUAAUCGGAUUUACUGGGCGUAAAGCGCGCGUAGGUGGUUUGUUAAGUUGGAUGUGAAAUCCCCGGGCUCAACCUGGGAACUGCAUCCAAAACUGGCAAGCUAGAGUAUGGUAGAGGGUGGUGGAAUUUCCUGUGUAGCGGUGAAAUGCGUAGAUAUAGGAAGGAACACCAGUGGCGAAGGCGACCACCUGGACUGAUACUGACACUGAGGUGCGAAAGCGUGGGGAGCAAACAGGAUUAGAUACCCCUGUAGUCCCUGUCUCUUAUAC